rnacentral:rRNA from 1 species
AACGAACGCUGGCGGCAUGCCUAACACAUGCAAGUCGAACGAGACCUUCGGGUCUAGUGGCGCACGGGUGCGUAACGCGUGGGAACCUGCCCUUAGGUUCGGAAUAACUCCCCGAAAGGGGUGCUAAUACCGGAUAAUGUCUUCGGACCAAAGAUUUAUCGUCUUUGGAUGGGCCCGCGUUGGAUUAGCUAGUUGGUAGGGUAAAAGCCUACCAAGGCGACGAUCCAUAGCUGGUCUGAGAGGAUGAUCAGCCACACUGGGACUGAGACACGGCCCAGACUCCUACGGGAGGCAGCAGUGGGGAAUAUUGGACAAUGGGCGAAAGCCUGAUCCAGCAAUGCCGCGUGAGUGAUGAAGGCCUUAGGGUUGUACAGCUCUUUUACCCGGGAUGAUAAUGACAGUACCGGGAGAAUAAGCUCCGGCUAACUCCGUG